UCCCUGAUGGCUGAGUGGGUAAAGAAUCCGCCUGCAAUGCAAGAGACACAGGUUCAAUCCCUGGGUCAGGGAA
rnacentral:tRNA from 1 species